AUGUCGAGGGAUCCGCUGAUCGUCGGAAGGAUCGUCGGCGACAUCGUCGACUACUUCGACGCGUCGGCGCGGCUGAGGGUGCUGUACAGCUACCGCGAGAUCACCAAUGGGUCCGAGCUGAGGCCGUCGCAGGUGGCGAACCAGCCGACGGUGCAGAUCACAGGACGGCCCGGAUCACUCUACACGCUGGUGAUGGUAGACCCUGACGUACCUAGUCCAAGCAAUCCUUCCCAACGGGAGUACCUCCACUGGUUGGUCACAGACAUACCAGAACGAGGUGACGUCAGCUGUGGAACUGAGGUGGUGCCGUACGAGAGACCACAGCCGACGGCGGGGAUCCACCGUGUGGCAUUCGUGGUGUUCCGGCAGGCGGCGCAGGCGAUCUACGCACCAGGGUGGCGCUCCAACUUCGUAACCAGGGACAUUGCGGAGUGCUACAGCCUCGGCGCUCCGGUCGCCGCCGCCUACUUCAACUGCCAGAGGGAGGGCAGCUGCGGUGGCCGGAGGUACCGGUGA
rnacentral:rRNA from 1 species